rnacentral:rRNA from 1 species
CCUACGGGUGGCAGCAGUGGGGGAUAUUGCACAAUGGGGGAAACCCUGAUGCAGCGAAGCCGCGUGAGGGAAGAAGUAUUUCGGUAUGUUAAGCCCUAUCAGCAGGGAAGAAAAUGACAGUACCUGACCAAGAAGCGCCGGCUCAAUACGUGCCAGCAGCCGCGGUAAUACGUAGGGGGCAAGCGUGAUCCGGAUUUACUGGGGGUAAAGGGAGCGUAGACGGUUAUGUAAGUCUGGAGGGAAAGCUCGGGGCCCAACCCCGGGACUGCGUUUGAAACUGUGUAACUGGAGUACAGGAGGGGCAGGCGGAAUGCGUGGUGUAGCGGUGAAAUGCGUAGAUAUCAGGAAGAACACCGACGGCGAAGGCGGCAUACUGGACUGAAACUGACGUUGAGGCUCGAAAGCGUGGGGAGCAAACAGGAUUAGAUACCCUUGUAGUC